UUCACAAUUUAGUUUAACAGUUCUGUAUUAAAAACUGAGUGAAAUUCCCAUGUGGUCACUUAUAAUUUGACUGGUCAUAAUCGUAUCACAAUUUCCUUUACUAUGUCCUCAGGAGGUCAAGAAACAACAACCCACCCGCGACAGGAGAAGAAAAAAUGUCCAUGCAUCCUGUUCCAUCUGGACUGGCGUCGUAGAGGUUGUACCCUACGACCCUCUGUUGUCACAGAGAGCAGAGACAGAAAGUCACUGGAGCUCGAGGGAUCAUCUCCAUGCACCGCCCCCCCUGCAUCUGCACAGAAAGUUUUCCUGCAACAUGUGGGGAAACAAAGCAUCGUCCUACGGAAUUUCUUUCCUACCUUAAUUCAAAAGCAUAGUGUUUCAUUUUGGUGCGUAAUUUCUUUAUUUCACAUUAAGAUUUUGUAAAGCUUUCUCUCAAACCCUGCCCUGUCUCUCAAAUAGCGCAUGCUGAAGCGCAAAGCUGCUCUGCUCCUGCUCAAAACUAUUUGCACUCAGAUAUACUGUUGCUGCAACAAUGUCAUGUGCUUCUGUUUGUGUCCUUCUCCUAGUAAUCAGGCUGCUUCUGUGUGCUCGUGAAACUUCCGCUCUCAGAUUUUUGCUCUCGCUCUCGGAUUUCUAUGAAAAUGACAAAAUUCCCAAACCAAUAGAAUGCCAGGAUAAAGUUGACCAAUGAAAUCAUCACUGCCUCAUUGCGGGCACGUUUGCUUUACUUCUUACAGCUUCCCUUACGGACAGGGCAGGGUUUUGAGGGAAAGCAAUAUAAAAUCUGAAUGCGAAAUUAAGAAAUAAUGCCCUCAAAUUGAAAGACCAUGCUUUUGAAUAAAGAUACAAUAGGAACUCCAUAUGGUCCACACUGCUGAAGAUAAUUGUAAUUGUACUUUAUUUUAAUCAGUCUGUUAUUAUUGUUGAAAACAACAGAGGGAGCAUUCUCAGAGGCCUAUUUUUAUUUAAUAUAGGCUAUUUAUUUUUAUAUAAUUUUUCAUUUGCAUGUACUGCAGCUGUAUAUUUUCAAACAGGGAAGGAAACCCUGUCUUUGCAUUUUAUUUUGACCAGUCUGUUUUAAUACAAGUGCAUGUAACAUCUUACAUGUGGCUAUCUAAUUUACAACUGUAUCUACAUCUCAUGUAUCACCAUUGAGCCUAAAAAUAUAGAAAUAUGACAUUUAGUCUGUAGCCCUAACUUGUAGCUAAAUAUUUGAACUGCACAUAAGUAACAUUAAUGCUGAAGACCAUGUGACCACCUGGUGCUACAACACGCAGAGCCUUGUACCCUUCUACGAUAAGUCUGGUGAUAUUCUGUUUUUCUUACUCUCAUCAAAUCCCAUGAAAAUAAUAAAACCAACAAGAAUUCGUCCUGUAAA